rnacentral:rRNA from 1 species
AACGUAGGACGCAAGCGUUAUCCGGAAUUACUGGGCGUAAAGGGCGUGCAGGCGGCCGGGUAAGUCCGUCGUGAAAGCCCCCGGCUAAACUGGGGGAGGCCGAUGGAGACUGCCGGGCUAGAGGCUGGUAGAGGGGCAUAGAAUUCCGGGUGUAGUGGUGAAAUGCGUAGAGAUCCGGAGGAAUACCAGAGGCGAAGGCGGUGCCCUGGGCCAGUACUGACGCUAAGACGCGACAGCAUGGGGAGCGAACGGG